UUUUCCUGACCUUCCAAGGCUAUAAGAUAUGGUGUGGAUUAUUUUCAUUUGCAUAUAUCGUAUUCUUUCUCACUUGCCUUUCCAACUUUUUAUUCGUGAAGACAUGGGAGUCAUCAAAGUGCCAAUCCUGCUAUGCAUGCUUCUCCUCACACCACUUCUCUUUGCUCUUGGAUCGGAAGCCAAGACCUGCAAACAGAAGAGCGUCAGAUAUCAGGGUUUUCCAUGCAAUAACGGUGCAUGUGCUGAUGCCUGUCGCAAGGAGGGCUUUACUCAAGGAGGGUGUGCCUUUGUGAUCAUAAAACCACCUGUAUUGUCAUGUUUAUGCAAAAAAGAGUGUUGAAUAAAAACAUGUAGAAAUUGUCGUAGGAUGUGAUGUAAUAAAUAUUAUGUCUUUGAAGUAGACUGAGUUGACGAUGAUCAAUAGAAGAAGUUGAGGCUUUA